rnacentral:rRNA from 1 species
GAUGAACGCUAGCUACAGGCUUAACACAUGCAAGUCGAGGGGAAACGAUAGGGAAAGCUUGCUUUUUCUAGGCGUCGACCGGCGCACGGGUGAGUAACGCGUAUCCAACCUGCCCAUCACUUGGGGAUAACCUUGCGAAAGUAAGACUAAUACCCAAUGAAGUCUCUAGAAGACAUCUGAAGGAGAUUAAGGAGUUAUCGGUGAUGGAUGGGGAUGCGUCUGAUUAGCUUGUUGGCGGGGUAACGGCCCACCAAGGCGACGAUCAGUAGGGGUUCUGAGAGGAAGGUCCCCCACAUUGGAACUGAGACACGCUCCAAACUCCUACGGGAGGCAGCAGUGAGUAAUAUUGGUCAAUGGACGAGAGUCUGAACCAUCCAAGUAGCGUGCAGGAAGACGGCCCUAUGGGUUGUAAACUGCUUUUAUAAGGGAAUAAAGUGAGUCUCGUGAGACUGUUUGCAUGUACCUUAUGAAUAAGGACCGGCUAAUUCCGUGCCAGCCGCCGCCGUAA